GCGAAAACUUUACAAUGCUGGCAACAGCGAUAAGGGAACCUCGAGUGCCAGGUUACAAAUCUGGCUGUCGAGAUGCCUAAAAAGCAUUUCAUAGCAAGGGCCGGGCAAGACCGGUGCCAGCCGCCGCGGUAACACCGGCGGCUCGAGUGGUAACCGUUAUUAUUGGGUCUAAAGGGUCUGUAGCCGGCCGGAUAAGUCUCUUGAGAAAUCUGGCAGCUUAACUGUCAGGCUUUCAGGAGAUACUGUCUGGCUCGAGGCCGGGAGAGGUGAGAGGUACUUCAGGGGUAGGGGUGAAAUCUUGUAAUCCUUGAAGGACCACCAGAGGCGAAGGCGUCUCACCAGAACGGACCUGACGGGAAGGGACGAAAGAUAGGGGCACGAACC
rnacentral:rRNA from 1 species